UACGGGGGGGGCAAGCGUUGUUCGGAAUUACUGGGCGUAAAGGGCUCGUAGGUGGCCAACUAAGUCAGACGUGAAAUCCCUCGGCUUAACCGGGGAACUGCGUCUGAUACUGGAUGGCUUGAGUUUGGGAGAGGGAUGCGGAAUUCCAGGUGUAGCGGUGAAAUGCGUAGAUAUCAGGAGGAACACCUGUGGUGUAGACAGCUUACUGGACCACUUCUGACGCUGAGACACGAAAGCGUGGGUAGCAAACAGG
rnacentral:rRNA from 1 species